CAAACUCCAAAACACUUACAAACUCCAAAACACUUACAAAAUACAAAACACAUGCAAAAUACAAAACACAACGGAAGUGCUCCAGGACGCUAGGGGCAGUGUUGAGCUUUUGUUACCUAGUAACUACACAAGCCAGGAAGUACCAAUGACCGGAUUUGGGCUGUAUCCCAAUUCAGGGGUCGUGUCCAAAUCCAUGGGCUGCAUCCUCCUGAGGACCCGGUGGGCCACGAAGGACACACCCGACCCAUCCUUCAAAUUCGGGGAAAAGGAGGACGCAUUUGUCGGCUGCAUUCGGAGGAGUCUACGAAUUUGGACAGCCUUCGGCGCGUCGUUCAAAGGCUGCUCGAAAUGCGGCCUCAAAUGCAGCCUUCAUUUCCCUCAAUUUUAAGGAUGGGUCGGUGUAGCCUUCAUGGCCCAACAUAUCCCAGACUUCAUAGCGCAGCAGUGGUGUGGAUAAUUUUGAAAAAAAACGGUGGAAGCGGAGCGGCCGAAGAGUAAACUUUCAAAACUUAUCACACAUUUGAUUUCCAUGUGUGACAACUGCAAGUGUCCAGAGUGAGGACAGACUGAGGGACCCACCGCUGCACAUCAUCUGUGAGGCUUUGCACCCCUGAUGAUCCACCAGGACAAACUCAGCAGUGUGUGAGGAAGAGGAGGAGGAAGAGCCAGCAGCAGCUGACAGAUGGAGAGAAUAGACAGACUGUUCCCUGUUUGUGAAGGACUGCUUGGAAAGUUUAAAAUAACUGUCUGUCCUGAAUCAGUCUUAUUAGGUAAUGUUCAAAUAAUUUUAUCAUUCCAGUGUUUUCAGUGUGGGAGAAAGUACUCAGGGCCUUCAAGUUAAACACUAUGAAAGGCAGCAACAAGUUUAAUAUUCAGAAACCUAAAGUAUGUAUCAGCAGCAGAAUGGAGCUAAAAAUAAAUGUUUGUUUCAGUUCUAUGAAGCUUUGAGUAUUUUGGAUUAGUAGUACUGCUGUGUUUGUUGCAUCAUAUUGCUGUAAUUGUUUAUAUGCUUUAUAUAUUCUGAGCUAAGUUGAUCUAUAGUGUU
ensembl:lncRNA